rnacentral:rRNA from 1 species
UACGUAGGGGGCAAGCGUUGUCCGGAUUUAUUGGGCGUAAAGAGCUCGUAGGCGGUUUCGUAAGUCGAGUGUGAAAAAUCAGGGCUUAACCCUGUCGAGCACUCGAUACUGCGAUGACUUGAGUUUGGUAGAGGAGUGUGGAAUUCCUGGUGUAGCGGUGAAAUGCGCAGAUAUCAGGAGGAACACCAACGGCGAAGGCAGCACUCUGGGCCAGUACUGACGCUGAGGAGCGAAAGCGUGGGGAGCAAACAGG